rnacentral:lncRNA from 1 species
UGCUGUUCCAGUUCAAGCACACCCACCUCUUCUGUUUCUAUAGUGUCCAAACCAAGUAACUUUGUACUCCUUUGUGAGGUUCCCAUCUAACUAUGCUGAUGGACAGAUGCAGUGCAACCCAUCUAGAGAUUCUUGGAUUUACAGAAAAUUAUGCUGUGGCUCUUUGCCAGCAAGGAAAUAAUCUGGACACAAAGCCACAUUCAUUUCGGCAUUGCGCUUGAACUGCUGAGCAGAUUAAAGGCAAACAAAGGGACAGUGAUGAAAACAGCAAAAAAAAAUGCUGUGCAUCUGAAUGUUACCAGAAUUUACCCAAUGUAGCAACCCCGAGUGGAAAAGAAGGAAAGCUGAAGCUUUGAAAAAUUUCCUGAAGGACACCUAAUUGUAAUUCCUACUUUGAUUUCUCUGUAAAGUUUCUGAAUGCUUCUGGAUGACUACAGUGACAAUUCCCUGACCUGCUGUCCAGAUGAUUGACUGGUUGAUAAUGUCUUUAAUGUUUUGUCAUGUUUUGCCAACAUUGUUUUUAACAAAUCCCAAG